AGGCCGCAGUAGCGGAGUGGUUAGCGCUGCGUACUGACAUUCGGAAGGCUCGGGUUCAAUUCCCCGUGCGACC
rnacentral:tRNA from 1 species